rnacentral:rRNA from 1 species
GCAUAUCAAUAAGCGGAGGAAAAGAAACCAACAGGGAUUACCUCAGUAACGGCGAGUGAAGCGGUAACAGCUCAAAUUUGAAAUCUGGCCUCACGGUCCGAGUUGUAAUUUGUAGAGGAUGCUUCGAGCAUGGUCUGGCCUAAGUUCCUUGGAACAGGACGUCAUAGAGGGUGAGAAUCCCGUAUGCGGUCAGGUGCCUACGCUCAUGUGAAGCUCCUUCGACGAGUCGAGUUGUUUGGGAAUGCAGCUCAAAAUGGGUGGUAAAUUUCAUCUAAAGCUAAAUAUUGGCCAGAGACCGAUAGCGCACAAGUAGAGUGAUCGAAAGAUGAAAAGCACUUUGGAAAGAGAGUUAAACAGUACGUGAAAUUGUUGAAAGGGAAGCGCUUGCAACCAGACUUGCGCGCGGCCGAUCAUCCGGUGUUCUCACCGGUGCACUCGGCCGUGCUCAGGCCAGCAUCGGUUUCGGCGGUUGGAUAAAGGCCUCAGGAAUGUGGCUCCUCUCGGGGAGUGUUAUAGCCUGGGGUGCAAUGCAGCCUGCUGGGACCGAGGACCGCGCUUCGGCUAGGAUGCUGGCGUAAUGGUUGUAAGCGGCCCGUCUUGAAACACGGACCAAGGAGUCUAACAUCUAUGCGAGUGUUUGGGUGUCAAACCCAUACGCGUAAUGAAAGUGAACGGAGGUGAGAACCCUUAAGGGUGCAUCAUCGACCGAUCCUGAUGUCUUCGGAAGGAUUUGAGUAAGAGCAUAGCUGUUGGGACCCGAAAGAUGGUGAACUAUGCCUGAAUAGGGUGAAGCCAGAGGAAAACUCUGGUGGAGGCUCGCAGCGGUUUCUGACGUGCAAAUCGAUCGUCAAAUUUGGGUAUAGGGGGCGAAAGACUAAUCGAACCAUCUAGUAGCUGGGUUCCUGCCGAG